rnacentral:rRNA from 1 species
AAUUACCCACUCCNGGCACGGGGAGGUAGUGACGAAAAAUAACAAUACGGGACUCUUUUGAGACCCCGUAAUUGGAAUGAGUACACUCUAAAUCCUUUAA